UUUAAAAUAAGCAAUUGGCAACGACGACCGAAUGUUUUAACAUCUGGAUUGACCGUGGCUGUUUUCAUGUCAAUAAGAUCCAAUAGAGUCAAAGUGCCCUCAAGAGUUGAAACAAGCCACUGGAUUACAUAUGUGGCCUACGCACCCCAUAUCCAUGAAAACAGGCCUUACCACACAUUACCGGAUCUGAUCAAGGUAGACUGGGAAUCCAACGCUGAGAAAUACCAAGGGAGAUACUACAGCGAUGAGCUCUGGGUGCUACUACGUACAGCGAUGAGAAAUACCCUAAUUUUCAAACCAGUACCAUUCAUAAACCCAACAACGGUUUCUGGAGUGCUUCUGAUGUCUAGAUUACCUGCGAUGAGCUCUGGGUGCUACUACAGCGAGGCGAUGAGAAAUACCCUAAUUUUCAAACCAGUACCAUUCAUAAACCCAACAACGGUUUCUGGAGUGCUUCUGAUGUCUAGAUUACCUGCGAUGAGCUCUGGGUGCUACUACAGCGAGAGUUUAGUAUAAAGUUUUUGGGCAGAAUUCACCUUAGAUUUGCGGGGUCCAAGUUCUUCAGAACCUCCUCAAUAAAAUGGCUCGAUGACAAGCUGAAAACAAGCACGGGAAUGCAAGAGAUCAUCAAGAUUUCAUCAUCAAGCAAUUAGCGUGUGGUGACAACGCCAUUUAAUAAAGAGAAGAACAAGCGAUCGGGUUCUAGAGGUAUCUGAAUUAACCAUGCCAUGCAUGCCAAGACCUUACAGAAUGUUGCUGUGAUCGAUUGAACAAAGAAACACAAGGGAUCUACAGAUGGGGCAUCCAUAUGCCACAUGGCCAAACAUGGAUUAUACCGUGUAAAGAGUUCCUUAGUGAAGAUCUGGUGCUCACAAUCAUUGAGACAAUACCUCAGGAAAGUUGACAAUCUAUUUACGUAGUUUUAAUCAUCAUGGGCACACGAAAUCACCAAUUGUCUCGAUAUCUUCAAGGUCUGCGUCAGCAUCCAAGUCAUCAAGAUCCAUGCUGCCUCCAAGCAAAUGCCCUACAGUCUUUGACAGGGAGACAGGUUUGCUUGCCUCUUGUAUUAUAGACAGGACUUCUUCAAUGCUUUGGGAGAGGUUGUUGACGUCAUUGCUCUGCCAGCUUUGUCCUUCCAUCAGCUCUAUAGGCAAGUUCUUUAAGAACCAUGGAUGAUUUUUUA